UGGGGUUCCACCUCUUCCCAUUCCGAACAGAGAAGUUAAGCCCAUCAGCGCCGAUGGUACUGCUAACGCGGGAGAGUAGGUCGCCGCCGACU
rnacentral:rRNA from 1 species